rnacentral:rRNA from 1 species
GCUAGCGUUGUCCGGAAUCAUUGGGCGUAAAGCGCGUGUAGGCGGCUUGGCAAGUCGGAUGUGAAAGCCCACGGCUCAACCGUGGAAGCGCAUCCGAAACUGCUUCGCUCGAGUCUCGGAGAGGAAGGUGGAAUGCUUGGUGUAGAGGUGAAAUUCGUAGAUAUCAAGCAGAACACCUGCGGCGAAGGCGGCCUUCUGGACGAUGACUGACGCUGAGACGCGAAAGCGGGGGGAGCAAACAGG